AGUGAACGCUGGCGGUAGGCCUAACACAUGCAAGUCGAACGGCAGCACAGUAAGAGCUUGCUCUUACGGGUGGCGAGUGGCGGACGGGUGAGGAGUACAUCGGAAUCUACUUUUUCGUGGGGGAUAACGUAGGGAAACUUACGCUAAUACCGCAUACGACCUACGGGUGAAAGCAGGGGAUCUUCGGACCUUGCGCGAUUGAAUGAGCCGAUGUCGGAUUAGCUAGUUGGCGGGGUAAAGGCCCACCAAGGCGACGAUCCGUAGCUGGUCUGAGAGGAUGAUCAGCCACACUGGAACUGAGACACGGUCCAGACUCCUACGGGAGGCAGCAGUGGGGAAUAUUGGACAAUGGGCGCAAGCCUGAUCCAGCCAUACCGCGUGAGUGAAGAAGGCCUUCGGGUUGUAAAGCCCUUUUGUUGGGAAAGAAAAGCAGCAGGUUAAUACCCCGCUGUUCUGACGGUACCCAAAGAAUAAGCACCGGCUAACUUCGUG
rnacentral:rRNA from 1 species